UGGGCUUGACAUGGCGCUGCAAGCGCACGGAAACGUGCGACCUUCGAGGGUGCGCCACAGAUGCUGCAUGGCUGUCGUCAGCUCGUGUCGUGAGAUGUUGGGUUAAGUCCCGCAACGAGCGCAACCCCCGUGGCGUGUUGCCAGCAUUAAGUUGGGGACUCACGCCAGACUGCCGGUGACAAACCGGAGGAAGGUGGGGAUGACGUCUCACGCAAUAACA
rnacentral:misc_RNA from 1 species